rnacentral:RNase_P_RNA from 1 species
GGUCAAUUGCUGCUAUUUUUGUAGUAGAGGAAAGUCCAUGCUUGCACAUCCUGCGAUGGGUGUAGUGAUUUAGUGGGAUCAAAAAAUAAAUCCCAGCAUAACACUUGUGUUAUGACGGCGAAAUUAUUAGCUAAAGAAUCCUAAGAUUCCAUGCUGCUAAUUUGUUAAAGUGCCACAGAGACGAGCUAGAGAGAAAUUUCUAGAUGAAACGCGGUAAACCCCUAAAGCAAGAAACCUAAAUUAUGGUGAGGGAACGCAAAGAACAGGAACUGAAUUGUUUUUUGUGACUUAAAGUUCACUUUAAGUAGAUAAAUAAUUGACGGCGAGUUUUCGCAACAGAACAUGGCUUACA